rnacentral:misc_RNA from 1 species
AAGGAUCAUUAGUGAAUAUUAGGGCGUCUACUUCGGUAGGGCCUGACCUCCACUUUCUAACUCUGUGCACUUAUUUGGCGGAAAAGGGAAUUAGUAAUCUGUCUAAUGACGGUUGCGACUUCUUACUUUCUGCGGCUUACUUUAAACACUAGUCAAAGUAUGUAACGAAAUAUCGAAACAAAUAAAAACUUUCAACAACGGAUCUCUUGGCUCUC